GCCUUAUCAAGAGUGGUGGAGGAAUCAGGUCCUGUGAAGCCCGGCAACCUGUUAUAGUGCGUGCGGUAGUUACCGUUCGUAUCUUGUCAAGGUGCCAAAUCCUGCGGUUAUUUCCGGAAGAUGAGGA
rnacentral:ncRNA from 2 species